rnacentral:rRNA from 1 species
GAGUGAUGGUAUCUUACCAGAAAGUCACGGCUAACUACGUGCCAGCAGCCGCGGUAAUACGUAGGGUGGCGAGCGGUUAUCCGGAAUGAUUUGGGCGUAAAGGGUGCGUAGGUGGCAGAUCAAGUCAGCUGUGAAAAAUAUGGGGCUUAACUUGUAGACUGCAGUUGAAACUGGUAUUCUUGAGUGAAGUAGAGGUUGGCGGAAUUCCGAGUGUAGCGGUGAAAUGCGUAGAUAUUCGGAGGAACACCGGUGGCGAAGGCGGCCAACUGGGCUUUAACUGACGCUGAGGCGCGAAAGCUGGGGGAGCGAACAGGAUUAGAUACCCUGGUAGUCCACACUGUAAACGAUGAUAACUAGGUGUGGGGGGUCUGACCCCUUCCGUGCCGCAGCUAACGCAAUAAGUUAUCCACCUGGGGAGUACGACCGCAAGGUUGAAACUCAAAGGAAUUGACGGGGACCCGCACAAGCAGUGGAUUAUGUGGUUUAAUUCGAAGCAACGCGAAGAACCUUACCAGCACUUGACAUCCGACUAACGAAGUAGAGAUACAUUAGGUGCCCUUCGGGGAAAGUCGAGACAGGUGGUGCAUGGUUGUCGUCAGCUCGUGUCGUGAGAUGUUGGGUUAAGUCCCGCAACGAGCGCAACCCCUGCCAUUAGUUGCUACGCAGGAGCACUCUAAUGGGACCGCUACCGACAAGGUGGAGGAAGGUGGGGACGACGUCAAAUCAUCAUGCCCCUUAUGUGCUGGGCUACACACGUAAUACAAUGGCCAUCAACAAAGAGAAGCAAUACCGCGAGGUGGAGCAGAACUAUAAAAAUGGUCUCAGUUCGGACUGCAGGCUGCAACCCGCCUGCACGAAGUUGGAAUUGCUAGUAAUCGUGGAUCAGCAUGCCACGGUGAAUACGUUCCCGGGUCUUGCACACACCGCCCGUCA